rnacentral:rRNA from 1 species
AACGCUAGCUACAGGCUUAACACAUGCAAGUCGAGGGGCAGCAUGAAGGCAGCAAUGUCUUUGAUGGCGACCGGCGCACGGGUGAGUAACGCGUAUCCGACCUGCCGCAGACACGGGGACAGCCUUGCGAAAGCAGGGAUAACCCCCGAUGAUCUCGUUCCAACGCAUUAGGGAAUGAGCAAAGGAUUAAUCGGUCUGCGAUGGGGAUGCGUUCCAUUAGAUAGUCGGCGGGGUAACGGCCCACCGAGUCGACGAUGGAUAGGGGUUCUGAGAGGAAGGUCCCCCACAUUGGAACUGAGACACGGUCCAAACUCCUACGGGAGGCAGCAGUGAGGAAUAUUGGUCAAUGGGCGCGAGCCUGAACCAGCCAAGUAGCGUGAGGGACGACUGCCCUAUGGGUUGUAAACCUCUUUUAUAUGAGAGUAAUGUGCGCUACGUGUAGCGUAUUGCAAGUAUCAUAUGAAUAAGCAUCGGCUAACUCCGUGCCAGCAGCCGCGGUAAUACGGAGGAUGCGAGCGUUAUCCGGAUUUAUUGGGUUUAAAGGGAGCGUAGGCGGGAUAUUAAGUCAGUCGUCAAAGCCUGUGGCUCAACCACAGCCCGCGAUUAAUACUGGUAACCUUGAGUGCGGAUGAGGUGGAUGGAAUUCGUGGUGUAGCGGUGAAAUGCUUAGAUAUCACGAAGAACUCCGAUUG